GACGAACGCUGGCGGCGUGCUUAACACAUGCAAGUCGAACGAUGAUGCUGGAGCUUGCUCCAGUUGAUUAGUGGCGAACGGGUGAGUAACACGUGAGCAAUCUGCCCUUGACUCUGGGAUAACUGCGGGAAACUGUAGCUAAUACCGGAUACUUUCACCGGGGGGCAUCCUCUGGUGAUGAAAGCAUUUCGGUCAAGGAUGAGCUCGCGGCCGAUCAGCUUGUUGGGGAGGUAACGGCUCACCAAGGCGACGACGCGUAACCGGCCUGAGAGGGGGACCGGUCACACUGGGACUGAGACACGGCCCAGACUCCUACGGGAGGCAGCAGUGGGGAAUAUUGCACAAUGGGCGCAAGCCUGAUGCAGCAACGCCGCGUGAGGGAUGAAGGCCUUCGGGUUGUAAACCUCUUUUAGCAGGGAAGAAGCGAAAGUGACGGUACCUGCAGAAAAAGCACCGGCUAACUACGUGCCAGCCGCCGCCGUAA
rnacentral:rRNA from 1 species